UGGUGGCACACAUCUGUAAUUCUGGUGGCUGAGGCAAGAGAAUUGCUUGAACCCAGGAGGUGGAGGGAAAUAGUCAACCACUAAGCAUAGUGUGUCUUAAAUCUGCUUCAAGGAAUCAGGCAAGGUUUUGAGGAUAAUUGUGAGGCAGGAGAAUAGGGCCUGGAGGCAGGGAACCUAAGGACUUCCUAGAACUAAAUCAAAUGGAAACACUCCACCUAAGACAGGAAAUAUCCUCUUCGCAUACAUCAAGUAACCAAUGGAAGCAUCUACAGGGUAUUUAAAUCCCAGAAAAUUCUGUAACUGGGCCCUUGAGCCGCUUGCUCAGGCCUGCUCCCAACCUGUGGAGUGUGGUAUCAUUUUCAGUAAAUCUCUGCCUGUGCUGCUUCAUUCUUUCCUUGCUUUGUGCAUUUUGUCCAAUUCUUUGUUCAAGACACCAAGAACCGGGACACCCUCAACCAGUAAUAAUUGGGCAAAAGGGCUUCUUCUCCUGGAGUGAAUGUCCCCUCCAAAGUACGGUAAACACAUACACAAAGGAUUUUAGUGUAAAUGAAAAGGAUAAAAACACUGUUUGACUCAGAUGAGUUCACUUUCCUCACCUCCAUAUUUAAUGCACCUGGUAAGGACGACUUGAGUUUCUAAAUCCCAAACCCAUAAGGCAUGUUUCCUCAAUAUGUCAAAUCAUGUUGUUUCCAUUUAUCUUUUACAGUUUCUCAAACUAUGAGAUGCAAACUUAACAUUUUCUAAAAUGUUUUCUCAAAUAGUAAACCCCACUUCAGUAAGGCCAGGAGCACCAUAUAAUUCAAACAAUGCACAAGUGUAUCCGGCCAAAGCGGGAGUGAGGGCCAAGGAGGGUUGGUCCCAGGAAAAUGCAUGAAUAUAAAUAUAUUUUUAUUUUUACCAGCUUAAUAAACUAUAUUGUCCUCUGCUGCACAACUUACAGUUUUAUCUAAAUAAGAUCUUCAGAUGAUAGCUUUCAAGCAUUUUCUCUGCAAUUUAUCUUCUGCCCCAUAAAAAGGUCACUCUCUUGCCUUUUAAGACUAACAUUAUGGAAAGCAUAUCCAGAAGUCCCGACAUUUAUAACUUUGCAAUACUUAUUUUAUAGCAUUUUAAAUUUUUACUAAAGUGAGUAAAAUGUAUCAAUUGAAGCUAUUGGUUAUAAUAGUUUAAAUGAGUGAAAUGAUAUAAGAACACACCCUAACACACACAGACUGAGCUGCCAAACCCAAGUAACUUAAUAAUCGAUAGUAAAAGGGAGGAAAAAAGCAUCACACUUAAUUUCUGGAUGCAGCUAUAACCUUAAACUCAAUUGUGUUUGUGACAACAUCAUCCCUGUGCUUUAGUAUAAAGAGGGCCCCAAUAUUUGAACGACCUUCAAUAAUAAAAGCUUUUUGUUAAUCUUUAAUUUUCCAAAACACCGCUAAAGUCAUAGCGAAAAGAUUUUUUGAAGUAUACACCAAAAAUACAAAAAGAACAGAGGAGUAGGCCCAGCACAGUGGCUCAUGCCUGUAAUCCCAGCACAUUGGGAAGCCGAGGCGGGUAGAUCACUUGAGCUCGGGGGUUUGAGACUAGCCUGGGAAAUGUAGUGAGACACCGUCUCUACUAAAAAUACAAAACAAUAGCCAGGUGUGAUGGUGCGUGCCUGAGAUCCCAGCUACUCAUAUGAGAUGGGAGGAUCGCUUGAGCCUUGGGGGCAGAGGUUGCAGUGAGGCAAGAUUGCACCACUGCAGUCUGGGUGACAGAGUGAGAGGCUGUCUCAAAAAAAAAUUAAAAAAACAAAAAAAAAUUAAAAAAAACAGAGGAGUACUUCUGUUUCAGGUAAUUUAGUGGAGUGAAUAAUUUGAGAAAAACUCCUAGGACAGAUGCCUAAAAGUUCUGGGUAAAAAAUUUUUAAAUCUCCUUAAAUUCACAGCUGGGCAUUUGAGAAUCUCCUCAAAGCUAAAAAUGAAGAAAAACGUGAAUCCAGUGAAGCAGCCAAGUCUAAGAGCUAACAGCUACCACGGAGUUUCUGCUGGUCACUGAUGGACUGGGUCUUUUAGUUCAUUGGUCUUUAUACAAACAGAGGCACUGGAGGAAAAGCCUAGCAAGAGAGAGGUCAGAUGAGACCCACCAGCAACUCCCUCAGUGGAACCAGGAAAUAUCCCCCAGAGACGGAGAUAGCAAAACAAACAAAAAAAAAUGUGCCUAUUUUGCCUUGGCUCUGGAAAAGAAAGAGAAAAAAAUUUCCUCCAUGAGUUUCUAUCCACAAACUGGCCCUGCACACCAAGGCAAAAUUUGUAUAACCCUUAGGUAUGAAAAACCCCAAGGUGAGAAUUUAAAACACCUCCAAGUGACUGGUAGAAAUAAGUACAAAUCCUAGAGGAACACACCUUGAAGUCUGGUCUCCAAAAAUUUAUACAGAUGACAAACCAAGUUAAGCUCAAAAACCUGUACACACAAGAGGAGACAAAUUAACAUGACUGACACUCAGCAGAUUUCAUCAUAUGUAGAGCAUCUAUAAAUUUAAAAUAUAUCAUUGAAUUUAGAAACUCAAUAAAGAGAUGAAAGAUUAGGCAUGGUUGAAGAAAUAAUAAACUUGAAGCUAGUUCUAAAGAAAUUGUUUAGGAUAAAGAGUAAUAAAGAGAUGAAAAAUAUAAAAGAAAAAUUAAUCAAUAUUGGGGACAGGGGGAGAAUGUUUAACAUACCUCUAAUAAGAAAUUAGUAGAGAAUACAGGAAUGAGGCAAUAUUCAAAGACAUAAUAGUGGAAACAUUUCUAAAACUGUUGAAAGCCAAAAAUCUUCAGAUUCAAGAAUCCUGAUGAAUCCUAAAAAGACUGAAUAAAAAAAUUACACCUAGACACUACAGAACAACAAAAGACAGACUGCAUAUAAAAAAGUUAGUUUAAUGACUGGCUUCAAAACUUCAGAGGGUCUGCUCCAGAAAGAAGUAAAAUGAGCCCAAAAAGAAGGUCCAUGAUGCAAGAACCAAUGAUGAGCAUAAUAAAUGCAAAAUAAGUAGGGGAAUCUAGACUAAUAUUGACUGCAUAAGGCACCAACAAUAGUAAUACCUAAAUUGUGGGGUUAAAAUAGAGAAUUAGGCUCAGGUGUGGUGGCUCACACCUGUAAUCCCAGCACUUUGGGAGGCUGAGGCAGGAGGAUCACUUGACGUCAGGAGUUUGAGAACCAGCUGAGCAACAUGGUGAUACCCCAUCUCUACUGAAAAUAUAUGCCUGUAAUCCCAGCACUUCGGGAGGCCAAGACAGCAGGAUCACCUGAGGUCAGCAGUUUGAGACGAGCCUGGCCAACAUGGUGAAACCCCAUCUCUACUAAAAAUACAAAAUUUAGCGGGGUGAGAUGGCGGGUGCCUGCAAUCCCAGCUACUCAGGAG
rnacentral:lncRNA from 10 species